rnacentral:lncRNA from 1 species
CUUUCCCGAGGCCUCUGAUUGGUCAGCUUGCACAGAGCGGAGUCCGACGAGGGAAGAUGGCGGGCCGCAGGCUCGCGGGGACCCUCUGAUGGAGCAGUGGGUGCCUGUGACCCCUGAGACCCUCUCAGAGGCGCUGAUAUGUGCCGAAAUGCCCACUCCAAACCGGGCCCCGCACUGUCUGCAGCCACAGAAGAGGUUGAUAUUGGUUAAACAUGUCGACUGAUACUUCCAGAAAAGCCCUGCUUCAAAAG